ACGAACGCUGGCGGCGUGCUUAACACAUGCAAGUCGAACGGAAAGGCCCUGCUUUUGUGGGGUGCUCGAGUGGCGAACGGGUGAGUAACACGUGAGUAACCUGCCCUUGACUUUGGGAUAACUUCAGGAAACUGGGGCUAAUACCGGAUAGGAGCUCCUGCUGCAUGGUGGGGGUUGGAAAGUUUCGGCGGUUGGGGAUGGACUCGCGGCUUAUCAGCUUGUUGGUGGGGUAGUGGCUUACCAAGGCUUUGACGGGUAGCCGGCCUGAGAGGGUGACCGGCCACAUUGGGACUGAGAUACGGCCCAGACUCCUACGGGAGGCAGCAGUGGGGAAUAUUGCACAAUGGGCGGAAGCCUGAUGCAGCAACGCCGCGUACGGGAUGACGGCCUUCGGGUUGUAAACCGCUUUCGCCUGUGACGAAGCGUGAGUGACGGUAAUGGGUAAAGAAGCACCGGCUAACUACGUG
rnacentral:rRNA from 1 species